GACGAACGCUGGCGGCGUGCUUAACACAUGCAAGUCGAACGGAAAGGCCCUUCGGGGUACUCGAGUGGCGAACGGGUGAGUAACACGUGGGUGAUCUGCCCUGCACUUUGGGAUAAGCCUGGGAAACUGGGUCUAAUACCGAAUAGGACCACGCGCUUCAUGGUGUGUGGUGGAAAGCUUUUGCGGUGUGGGAUGGGCCCGCGGCCUAUCAGCUUGUUGGUGGGGUAAUGGCCUACCAAGGCGACGACGGGUAGCCGGCCUGAGAGGGUGACCGGCCACACUGGGACUGAGAUACGGCCCAGACUCCUACGGGAGGCAGCAGUGGGGAAUAUUGCACAAUGGGCGCAAGCCUGAUGCAGCGACGCCGCGUGAGGGAUGACGGCCUCCGGGUUGUAAACCUCUUUCAAUAGGGACGAAGCGCAAGUGACGGUACCUAUAGAAGAAGCACCGGCCAACUACGUG
rnacentral:rRNA from 1 species